AACGAACGCUGGCGGCAUGCUUAACACAUGCAAGUCGAACGGAAAGGCCCUGCUUUUGUGGGGUGCUCUAGUGGCGAACGGGUGAGUAACCCGUGAGUAACCUGUCCUUGACUGUGGGAUAACUUCAGGCAACUGGGGCUAAUACCGGAUAGGAGCUCCUGCUGCAUGGUGGGGGUUGGAAAGUUUCGGCGGUUGGGGAUGGAAUCGCGGCUUAUCGGCUUGUUGGUGGGGUAGUGGCUUAGCAUAGCUUUGACGGGUAGCCGGCCUGAGCGGGUAAGCGGCUCAGUCAGGCUGGGGAUAAGACCCAGACUCCUACGGGACGGAGAGGUGGGGAAUGGUACACUAGGGGCUGAAGGCUGAUGUAGCAAAGCCGUGUCGGGGAAGUCGUGAAGCGGGUUGGGAACCGCUGUUGCCUGUGACGAAGCGUGAGUGACGGUAAUGGGUAAAGAAGCACCGGCUAACUACGUG
rnacentral:rRNA from 1 species